ACCAGGGCCACUUCCUCCAGAGCUUUCUAAGAUUGGAUGGAUAAAGCUCUGACACAGUUUUGCGCAUUUGAAGUACUUGUGGGUUUUCUGUGUGAUGGAAAAUACUCUCUUCCAUUCAGAGACUAUUCAGAGGACCUAAAGAAAUUUGGCCACAUUGGAAAAUCUCUAAGGAGCUCAGAGUUUAAAAAGGAACAAUCUUUUGAUCCGAUCUAAGUGGUAAUUUGAAUGCAAGUGGAAGAACUGGAAGGCUGCAGACUAUAGAAAGAGAGAUCAUUGAGAAGGAUCUUCCUUUCACCAGGCAGGGGAUCAAUCUGGUAAACUGGGAAUAAUAUAUUGGGGUCUACACAACUGGAAUACAACACUGAAUAAGUCUUGGGCAAAAUGAAAAUUUCCCUGUAAUAACUCUACAUAUUUGAAAAAUAUUACUGAAUCAAAUAAGUGGAUAAUGCCAGAGAGACGGGCACCAUCCCAGCAGCCUGAGAAAGAAGCAAUUACACAUUCUUUUGCUCUCCCCUUGAAAUCAGCACAGAUAAGAAAAAUACCAUUUUGGCAGCACCUGCUGCUGCUGGUUUGGGGACUUUUUUUGUCUUUCUUCUUCCCAGAAAGAAAGCAAAAUCUAAAUUAAAAAAAAAAAAAAAAAGCACAACUUGGCCAGCUGAUCAAUUUUACAGCAGACUCUUGCAGCAGACUGGCUAUUGUGUCUGAAUCAUAUUUUCCCAGUUGGAUUAUAAAUGCAUGAUUGACUGAAAGAACUUACAAAUGCAUAUGAAAAGCAGGAGCAGCAUCCUUCUCCAUUUCUGCAUGAAAAUAAGAGACAUAAACCUCAGAUACAUCCAUCCAUAUGCUUAGGAAGUUAGUCAUCAUGUCUGAAGAUACUCAAGUGCCUGUGGAGAGGCCCAUGAGUAGAGGAACAGGGGACUCUUGCCAAAAGCCAGCACUGACUUGCAGUCGGGUGAAUGUGUCAUCUUAAAACCUCCAGUUCUAGUCAAGCCUUCAGACAACUGCAGCUCUGGUGGGCAUUCACUGCAACCUUGAGAGAGAGUGUCUGAACCAGAAUAACUCAGCUUAGUCACUAUUGCAUUCCUGACCCAUAGGCAUCGCAAGAAAUAAAGUUUAACCAUCGUUGUAAGCCACUACAG